rnacentral:tRNA from 1 species
GGCCUGGUAGCUUAACUGGAUAGAGCAUCUGACUUCGAAUCAGAGGGUUGAGGGUUCGAAUCCUUCCUGGGCCA